rnacentral:rRNA from 1 species
CCUACGGGAGGCUGCAGUGGGGAAUAUUGCACAAUGGGCGCAAGCCUGAUGCAGCCAUGCCGCGUGUGUGAAGAAGGCCUUCGGGUUGUAAAGCACUUUCAGCGGGGAGGAAGGCGUUAAGGUUAAUAACCUUGGCGAUUGACGUUACCCGCAGAAGAAGCACCGGCUAACUCCGUGCCAGCAGCCGCGGUAAUACGGAGGGUGCAAGCGUUAAUCGGAAUUACUGGGCGUAAAGCGCACGCAGGCGGUCUGUCAAGUCGGAUGUGAAAUCCCCGGGCUCAACCUGGGAACUGCAUUCGAAACUGGCAGGCUAGAGUCUUGUAGAGGGGGGUAGAAUUCCAGGUGUAGCGGUGAAAUGCGAAGAGAUCUGGAGGAAUACCGGUGGCGAAGGCGGCCCCCUGGACAAAGACUGACGCUCAGGUGCGAAAGCGUGGGGGAGCAAACAGGAUUAGAUACCCGUGUAGUC